rnacentral:rRNA from 1 species
AUGCAAGCCGAACGAGAAAGUGGAGCAAUCCAUGAGUAAAGUGGCGACCGGGUGAGUAACACGUGACUAACCUACCUCCGAGUGGGGAAUAACUCCGGGAAACCGGGGCUAAUACCGCAUAACAUCGCAAGAUCAAAGCAGCAAUGCGCUUGGAGAGGGGGUCGCGGCUGAUUAGCUCGUUGGCGGGGUAACGGCCCACCAAGGCGAAGAUCGGUAUCCGGCCUGAGAGGGCGCACGGACACACUGGAACUGAAACACGGUCCAGACUCCUACGGGAGGCAGCAGUGGGGAAUUUUGCGCAAUGGGGGAAACCCUGACGCAGCAACGCCGCGUGGAGGAUGAAGCCCUUUGGGGCGUAAACUCCUUUCGACUCGGACGAUAAUGACGGUACGAGUGGAAGAAGCACCGGCUAACUCUGUGCCAGCAGCCGCGGUAAUACAGAGGGUGCGAGCGUUGUUCGGAAUUAUUGGGCGUAAAGGGCGCGUANGCGGUGCGGUAAGUCACCUGUGAAAUCUCCUGGCUUAACUGGGAGCCUGCAGGCGAAACUACCGUGCUGGAGUGUGGGAGAGGUGCGUGGAAUUCCCGGUGUAGCGGUGAAAUG